rnacentral:rRNA from 1 species
CGGGUGAGUAAUGUCUGGGAAACUGCCCGAUGGAGGGGGAUAACUACUGGAAGCGGUAGCUAAUACCGCAUAACGUCGCAAGACCAAAGAGGGGGACCUUCGGGCCUCUUGCCAUCGGAUGUGCCCAGAUGGGAUUAGCUAGUAGGUGGGGUAAUGGCUCACCUAGGCGACGAUCCCUAGCUGGUCUGAGAGGAUGACCAGCCACACUGGAACUGAGACACGGUCCAG